rnacentral:misc_RNA from 1 species
UGGAUGUGUUAGUGCUUUAACUUUGUUCCUGCUUUCCAAGCAACUUGACCCAGCAAACUAACUCUAGUAAUUAUUGUUGGAGAUAUUAAUGAAAAAUGGAACAGCUGCAGGAUUAAUUCACAAGGGUCUGUUACUCAAGAUAUUUACCGUUGAUGGUGAUAUCUCCCAAGAUUCAAUAGGUUCUUCCACUAUCAAGACGGGAACACUAAGAAGAAAUUUAUAAACCAGCAAAGAAAGAAGAAAAGGA